UGCCUACGGGGCGCAGCAGUGAGGAAUAUUGGUCAAUGGCCGAGAGGCUGAACCAGCCAAGUCGCGUGAGGGAUGACGGCCCUACGGGUUGUAAACCUCUUUUGUCGGGGAGCAAGACCCGCCUCGUGCAGGCGGAGCGAGAGUACCCGAAGAAAAAGCAUCGGCUAACUCCGUGCCAGCAGCCGCGGUAAUACGGAGGAUGCGAGCGUUAUCCGGAUUUAUUGGGUUUAAAGGGUGCGUAGGCGGUCCGGAAAGUCAGCGGUAAAAGCCCGGGGCUCAACCCCGGCGAGCCGUUGAAACUGUCG
rnacentral:rRNA from 1 species